GACGAACGCUGGCGGCGUGCUUAACACAUGCAAGUGGAGCGACGAACCGGGGCUUGCCCCGGGGCAGAGCCGCGAACGGGUGAGUAACACGUGGGUAACCCACCCCGAUGACCGGGACAACCCGAGGAAACUCGAGCUAAUACCGGAUGUGCUCCUUGGCCGUGAGGUCAAGGCGUAAAGAUAGCUUCGGCCUUCGCAUCGGGACGGGCCCGCGGCCCAUUAGCUUGUUGGUGGGGUAACGGCUCACCAAGGCGACGAUGGUAGCUGGUCUGAGAGGACGAUCAGCCACACUGGGACUGAGAC
rnacentral:rRNA from 1 species